AGAGUUUGAUCAUGGCUCAGGAUGAACGCUAGCUACAGGCUUAACACAUGCAAGUCGAGGGGCAGCAUGUUGGUUGCUUGCAACCAAUGAUGGCGACCGGCGCACGGGUGAGUAACGCGUAUCCAACCUACCCUUGUCCAUCGGAUAACCCGUCGAAAGGCGGCCUAACACGAUAUGCGGUUCUCAGCAGGCAUCUAACGAGAACGAAAUGUGAAGGAGAAGGAUGGGGAUGCGUCUGAUUAGCUUGUUGGCGGGUAACGGCCACAAGGCUACGAUCAGUAGGGGUUCUGAGAGGAAGGUCCCCCANAUUGGAACUGAGACACGGUCCAAACUCCUACGGGAGCA
rnacentral:rRNA from 1 species